UGCAUUUAAGUCCCUGCCGCCCGGCAGCGGGGCGGCCGGGUAUAUUUCUGUAAAUUUCCAAAUCGAAAAUAUAUUUUUGUAAAAAACGGAAUUUGUACAAACAGGUCGCCCCGCUCAGAUGGAAGGAGUAACUAGUAAUUUGUAAUUUUAGAAUGGAAGGAGUAACUAGUAAUUUGUACUAAAAAAACUAACUAGUAAUCUGCAUCCUCUCAAAAAAAACUAGUAACGGCGUGAAACUUUUACUAUAGCUCAAUAAUUUAAUGAUUAGACCACCCAAAAAAUUUUACCUAGGACCACAAAAAACAUAGAUAUGAAUUAAUCUAUACUAUAAAAGUUGAAACAAUUGAAAUCUUUUCUCAUCAAGAGAAGGCCCACCAUAUCCCUCACAAGGGUCCCACUUGUCAGGCCAAAAGGUUUGACGAAAGAGGAUGGAGACCCAUUUUUUGAUAGAAGAAAAAUGUUUCUAUCAAAAUCUUAAUACUUUUUACACCAAGCACUUUUAUCUACCCAUCCUUGUACCCACUUUUUACUUUCCAUUAUUUGCACUUUUAUCUACACAUUAUUUUUAGUAAAAUUUAUUAUCAUGCAAUUAUCUUUCCUUUUGUAAACUGAUUAACUUUCUUUGCCUUUGGUCCGUUUUUGCCGCGAGCCUUGCGUCUGAUUAACUUUCCUUGCCGAUGCACGACGACGAACGGCGACGCCAGGUAUCCACUAUUGCCGAUGCAUGCCGCCGCCGAUCAGGCGAUCUGCUUGCCUGGAGGCCACGUUAAGUAGAAGCGGCGAGGCUUUACAUGUUGGUUUCUUCGUUUCACGGUCAAAGUUCUUGGCCUCGGCUGAUCGCAGAAGAUCUUAUUUAUCUGUAUCAAAAUAAUAGAUUGGCAAUCCUUUUGAAGACCAGGUAGCAGCGGUGAUCCACAGCUCUGCGAAGAAGCAGGAACAACAAUACCUCUCGUGCUCAUGAUAUUUAAGUUGAGAUGCAGUGAGUCACCAGCCAUAGUUAUGCAGCAAACAUUUAUGGAUUAGGCUAGUACUUUUCUUUAGAGCAAGUAUUAUGGUGGACUAAAAGCAGGCUGAAUGAUGAGGUGGAGGAGAGAGAAGAGGAGAGAAAGAGAGAGAGGGUUGUAAGGUUACAGACAGCUUUGACACAAGAACCAAAAAAGUUUGUGAGAUAGACUAGUGGGUCAUAUAUUAAUGGUGGAGAGCUAAAUCACUAUACAAGUGGGCUGAGAGAUGAGCUGCAAAGAGUCUUACAACUAGCAAUGGGCUAAAUUAUUAGCCUUGCUCUUAGUUGUCUCAUGUAACAAAAUUCUCCAAUAGAUCAGCUGCACAAUAAGCCUUUUUAUUACAAGAGAUUUAUCUAUUUAAACUA